CAAAACUGGACGACGAAGGGAUGACGGCGACGCUGUCCUGGACCUCUAUGGGUGCCCAUCUUGACAGUGGCCGUGCUCGAGCCGUGGAUAUAAGGGCGGGUUCGCACCCCCGCGUCCUGCUCUUCACGUUCAACAACGCGACGCCGAUUUCCCAGGCGGAUGUUCUGGAAGGAUCGCUGGAGCCCUUGGAGCCUUAUAGGCCCCAGAAGGUCAAGGUCAAGCUUCCCGGAGAGUUGGUCUCACGGGCCCAGGGCAGGCCGAACAGCAUCUAUCUCGGCAUGCGCACCCUGAACGACAAGGGUCGCGCUUCC